ACGCUCGACACCUACGGAGGCAGCAGUGGGGAAUAUUGGGCAAUGGGCGCAAGCCUGACCCAGCAAUGCCGCGUGAAGGAAGAAGGCUUUCGGGUUGUAAACUUCUUUUGUCAGGGAAGAGAAGAAGACGGUACCUGACGAAUAAGCCACGGCUAACUACGUGUCAGCAGCCGCGGUAAUCUGAGGCGGGCGUGGCAAGGC
rnacentral:rRNA from 1 species